ensembl:lncRNA
CUUUUCUGUGAGAAUAAGUCACAAAGCAUUGUCUCCACUCACAAGUUGAGGUCAAAUGAUAAGUAUAGCUUUGAACUGGACAGAUUGGCAUCAUAUGAAACCAGAUUCAUGCCCCAGGAGAGAGACUGAAAAACAUGUAAAAAUGAGCAGAAUCUACAGCAAAUGUAUUCUUUUAUAAUGUAUCUAGCGGACAACUAAUUACAGACAACUAGAAAUGUAAUUAAGAAAAAAAAAAAACAUUUAUAGAAAAACUGCACAGAUGAAAAUACAGUAAUGGUGACUGUGAACAUAAAUGUACAUUUCCAAACAAUAAAAGAAAUAUACAAAACAAAAACCUCAACUGCUUAUCAUCAAGUUAAAGGUGUCAUAUGAGGUUGCUAAAAAAGAACAUUAUUUUGUGUAUUUGGUGUAAUGAAAUGUGUUUAUGCGGUUUAAGGUUCAAAAAACACAUUAUUUUCCAUGUACUGUACAUAAGUGUUGCUCCUCUAUGCCCUGCCUUUCUGAAACGCAUCAGUUUUUACAAAGCUCAACGUUCUGAAAAGCAGGUGUGCUCUGAUUGGCCAGUUAUCCAGUGCGUAGUGAUUGGCCGAAUACCUCAAGCGGGUGACAGAACAUACUGUGAUGCUGUCUCCCGGUGUGACAAGACAAAACCAAUAAAACCCAUUACAAACGAGGCAUUUGUUGCUUCCAGUGGGGACAUAAUUACUGAUUAUAAGGACUUAUACUGUCUUUUUACGUGUUGCAUCAUGCCGCGUAAACAUAAAACCAUGUCUGCAUUUGUGAUCAGAGAAACAACAAACAACAAGCACUACUCUACACUGCUCAAAACUCGCGUUUGAAUCAUCAGUAGAAAAUCCUUUAAAUAUGAAAACGUACUUACAGGCUGUAAGUCAGCUUUAUUUGUCAGAACACCGGCAUUGUAGGCUACUAUCCAAGGAAACAGUCCUUGUCCUCCAUAAAAUGUGUUGCACACAUCUGAAUAUUUGGGUUGAACUGUUUUGGAACAGAGUUGUAAAUACAACUUAACCACUGAUUUCUAGUUGUGUCCUCUUUUGGAAGGCCAAACAAAGUAGCUUCGCUUUUACUACAAAACACACGGCAUCUCCAUGACAUGGCAGUGGCGGCAGCAACAAUAAAAGUUACGCCUUCUUUCUUUGCAUGAACAUUUGGGAGGUGUUAUGCAAAUCUUCCCACACAGUGACGUAGACAUGUGGGGGUGUUUUUAAAUGAGGCGUUUUAGAAAGGAGUGGACGAGUCUUAACUUUUAUAAAGAAAAUCUCUUUGGGUUUGAGACUUCAGUCUUUGCAACUUUAAGGAUUUAUCUAUUCACGAACAGCUUGUAACACUCCAAAGAGAAAAGAAAACUUGAAAUUGCAUCAUAUGACCCCUGUAAGAAUGCUACCAUUCCUGAAGCUUAUCUUUACUGACUGUGAUUUUAGAACAUGUACUACUUUAUACCGGGAUAUUUUACAUCAUCUAUUGAAAGGAAUAAACACUACUGAGUGUAAAAAUACUGUAUGGCAAAGUCUGUGAAAGCACUUUUUUUUUGCUUGACAGGCACAAUACUGACAGAUACAUCAAAUAAACACUUAUACUGUAUAUUCAUACAUAUUUUUUCAGAAAGGCAUAAAAUGAGCUGAGACAAAAAAUAAUUGGCAAGUAGAGCAUAACACAAAAAGCUAGACUUCAAAGGCUGGAGCAGGGGUGAAAAAUCAUUUUGACCUUUUUCAAAAAGGUUUGAUCACAGUGUUAAACACAGUUCAUCUUGAGUAUCAACAAUCCGAAUCAAAGAACUGUGAGAACAGAGCAGCAGCAUUCACAAAUUCCAUAUGUGACACAAGAUAUAAAAGAGUUAAAAGCCAUUUGAUAUUAUUCCACUUGAAUUUUCAGCAUCAUUACUCCAGUCUUCAGUGUCACAUUAUCCU